CUAUGAAUCGGUCUUUUAUUUAGCCGCUUUUAAACAGAACACAUCCUGAGCGACUUUAUUAAUUAUUUAAUUAAAUCAGAAAGAUUGCUUAAAUAUAAUAGCUUAAAAAUUUACAUCAUUCAAUGUCAAUAUGGAGAGAAACAGCGCUGAUCAGCACACAGGAUGGCAUUUGUGGCUUCGGCUUCGACUGAAAUCUGAAGCACUUGAACCACGUGGUUGAAAUUGCACAUUUGAAAUGCAGAAAAAAUGUAUUAAAAAAUUGCAAUAAAUGUUCGCUACAUGAUUGUUUCAUGGUGACUUUAAAACACAGGAAUUGGAAUUAUACAUACAUCAUCUAUAGAAAGAUAUUUCAUUUGCGAGAAUCUCUCAAAAGCGAACGUUGAUAUUUGGUGUGCUCAAUAAUAUGUUUUGGCUCAUCUUAAAAAAAAAAAGAAUUUGGAUUCUUAAAAUAAAUUUGUGAUGGAACCAUUUGUCAACAGAAAACUGGAGUUACACUUGCUAGAAAAGUUUUACUUAUUUGCGUCUACUAUAAAUGGAUUUGGAAUUAUAUGCAGUUCAUAAAGAAGCGCUUACAUGGAUGUGACGAAUAGUACAUACAGUAAUAAAAUACAUAUUUUAUAACUAAAAUAAACUUAUGAACAACUUACA